AUUGAACGCUAGCGGGAUGCCUUACACAUGCAAGUCGAACGGAGUGGCGAAAGGGUAAGUAAUGUAUCGGAACGUGCCCAGUAGCAGGGGAUAAAUACGCGGAAGCGUAGCUUAUACCGCAUACUAUUGGAGCGGCCGAUAUCGGAUUAGCUAGUUGGGGGGGGAACGGCUCACAAAGGCGACGAACCGUAGGUGGUUUGAGAGGACGACCAGCCACACUGGGACUGAGACACGGCCCAGACUCCUACGGGAGGCAGCAGUGGGGAAUUUUGGACAAUGGGGGAAACCCUGAUCCAGCCAUCCCGCGUGUGCGAUGAAGGCCUUCGGAUUGUAAAGCACUGUUGGCAGGAAAGCGGUACCUACAGAAUAAGCACCGGCUAACUACGUGCCAGCAGCCGCGGUAAUAC
rnacentral:rRNA from 1 species